CAACUACUCCCUCUGUCCCAAAUUUCUUGUCUUAGAUUUGUCUAGAUACGGAUGUAUCUAAUACUAAAAUGUGACUUGAUACAUCCAUAUCUAGACAAAUCUAAGACAAUAAUUUUGGGACGGAGGGAGUACUUU
rnacentral:pre_miRNA from 1 species